CAUAAGCCCACAGGUCGGCAUCGACCAGAGGGAAAAGGAGCAAUCCGCUUUGAGAUGGCCUCGCGUCCGAUUAGCUAGUUGGUGAGGUAACGGCCCACCAAGGCAACGAUCGGUAGCCGGACUGAGAGGUUGAACGGCCACAUUGGGACUGAGACACGGCCCAGACUCCUACGGGAGGCAGCAGUGGGGAAUAUUGCACAAUGGGGGAAACCCUGAUGCAGCGACGCCGCGUGGAGGAAGAAGGUCUUCGGAUUGUAAACUCCUGUUGUUGAGGAAGAUAAUGACGGUACUCAACAAGGAAGUGACGGCUAACUACGUGCCAGCAGCCGCGGUAAAACGUAGGUCACAAGCGUUGUCCGGAAUUACUGGGUGUAAAGGGAGCGCAGGCGGGAAGACAAGUUGGAAGUGAAAUCUAUGGGCUCAACCCAAAACUGCUUUCAAAACUGUUUUUCUUGAGUAGUGCAGAGGUAGGCGGAAUUCCCGGUGUAGCGGUGGAAUGCGUAGAUAUCGGGAGGAACACCAGUGGCGAAGGCGGCCUACUGGGCACCAACUGACGCUGAGGCUCGAAAGUGUGGGUAGCAAACAGGAUUAGAUACCCUGGUAGUCCACACCGUAAACGAUGAUUACUAGGUGUUGGAGGAUUGACCCCUUCAGUGCCGCAGUUAACACAAUAAGUAAUCCACCUGGGGAGUACGACCGCAAGGUUGAAACUCAAAGGAAUUGACGGGGGCCCGCACAAGCAGUGGAGUAUGUGGUUUAAUUCGACGCAACGCGAAGAACCUUACCAAGUCUUGACAUCCUGCGACGCACAUAGAAAUAUGUGUUUCCUUCGGGACGCAGAGACAGGUGGUGCAUGGUUGUCGUCAGCUCGUGUCGUGAGAUGUUGGGUUAAGUCCCGCAACGAGCGCAACCCUUACUGUCAGUUACUACGCAAGAGGACUCUGGCAGGACUGCCGUUGACAAAACGGAGGAAGGUGGGGAUGACGUCAAAUCAUCAUGCCCUUUAUGACUUGGGCUACACACGUACUACAAUGGCGUUAAACAAAGAGAAGCAAGACUGCGAGGUGGAGCAAAACUCAGAAACAACGUCCCAGUUCGGACUGCAGGCUGCAACUCGCCUGCACGAAGUCGGAAUUGCUAGUAAUCGUGGAUCAGCAUGCCACGGUGAAUACGUUCCCGGGCCUUGUACACACCGCCCGUCACACCAUGAGAGCCGGGGGGACCCGAAGUCGGUAGUCUAACCGCAAGGAGAACGCCGCCGAAGGUAAAACUGGUGAUUGGGGUGAAGUCGAAACAAGGU
rnacentral:rRNA from 1 species